rnacentral:tRNA from 1 species
GCUCCCUUAGCUCAGCUGGAUAGAGCAACGGAUUUCUAAUCCGUAGGUCACAGGUUCAAGUCCUGUAGGGAGUACCA